GGACGAACGCUGGCGGCGUGCCUAAUACAUGCAAGUCGAACGAACUCUGGUAUUGAUUGGUGCUUGCAUCAUGAUUUACAUUUGAGUGAGUGGCGAACUGGUGAGUAACACGUGGGAAACCUGCCCAGAAGCGGGGGAUAACACCUGGAAACAGAUGCUAAUACCGCAUAACAACUUGGACCGCAUGGUCCGAGUUUGAAAGAUGGCUUCGGCUAUCACUUUUGGAUGGUCCCGCGGCGUAUUAGCUAGAUGGUGGGGUAACGGCUCACCAUGGCAAUGAUACGUAGCCGACCUGAGAGGGUAAUCGGCCACAUUGGGACUGAGACACGGCCCAAACUCCUACGGGAGGCAGCAGUAGGGAAUCUUCCACAAUGGACGAAAGUCUGAUGGAGCAACGCCGCGUGAGUGAAGAAGGGUUUCGGCUCGUAAAACUCUGUUGUUAAAGAAGAACAUAUCUGAGAGUAACUGUUCAGGUGUUGACGGUAUUUAACCAGAAAGCCACGGCUAACUACGUGCCAGCAGCCGCGGUAAUACGUAGGUGGCAAGCGUUGUCCGGAUUUAUUGGGCGUAAAGCGAGCGCAGGCGGUUUUUUAAGUCUGAUGUGAAAGCCUUCGGCUCAACCGAAGAAGUGCAUCGGAAACUGGGAAACUUGAGUGCAGAAGAGGACAGUGGAACUCCAUGUGUAGCGGUGAAAUGCGUAGAUAUAUGGAAGAACACCAGUGGCGAAGGCGGCUGUCUGGUCUGUAACUGACGCUGAGGCUCGAAAGUAUGGGUAGCAAACAGGAUUAGAUACCCUGGUAGUCCAUACCGUAAACGAUGAAUGCUAAGUAUUGGAGGGUUUCCGCCCUUCAGUGCUGCAGCUAACGCAUUAAGCAUUCCGCCUGGGGGAGUACGGCCGCAAGGCUGAAACUCAAAGGAAUUGACGGGGGCCCGCACAAGCGGUGGAGCAUGUGGUUUAAUUCGAAGCUACGCGAAGAACCUUACCAGGUCUUGACAUACUAUGCAAAUCUAAGAGAUUAGACGUUCCCUUCGGGGACAUGGAUACAGGUGGUGCAUGGUUGUCGUCAGCUCGUGUCGUGAGAUGUUGGGUUAAGUCCCGCAACGAGCGCAACCCUUAUUAUCAGUUGCCAGCAUUAAGUUGGGCACUCUGGUGAGACUGCCGGUGACAAACCGGAGGAAGGUGGGGAUGACGUCAAAUCAUCAUGCCCCUUAUGAGCUCAGGUCGUAACAAGGUAGCCGUAGAAUAAGUCGUUACAAGGUAGCCGU
rnacentral:rRNA from 1 species